rnacentral:rRNA from 1 species
CUGGCUUAUGGAGGGGGAUAACUACGGGAAACUGUAGCUAAUACCGCGUAAUAUCUUCGGAUUAAAGGGUGGGACCUUCGGGCCACCUGCCAUGAGAUGAGCCCAAGUGGGAUUAGGUAGUUGGUUAGGUAAAGGCUGACCAAGCCGACGAUCUCUAGCUGGUCUGAGAGGAUGACCAGCCACACUGGAACUGAGACACGGUCCAGACUCCUACGGGAGGCAGCAGUGGGGAAUACUGCACAAUGGGGGGAACCCUGAUGCAGCCAUGCCGCGUGAAUGAAGAAGGCCUUCGGGUUGUAAAGUUCUUUCGGUAGCGAGGAAGGCAUCUAGUUUAAUAGACUAGGUGAUUGACGUUAACUACAGAAGAAGCACCGGCUAACUCCGUGCCAGCAGCCGCGGUAAUACGGAGGGUGCGAGCGUUAAUCGGAAUAACUGGGCGUAAAGGGCACGCAGGCGGUGACUUAAGUGAGAUGUGAAAGCCCCGAGCUUAACUUGGGAAUUGCAUUUCAUACUGGGUCGCUAGAGUACUUUAGGGAGGGGUAGAAUUCCACGUGUAGCGGUGAAAUGCGUAGAGAUGUGGAGGAAUACCGAAGGCGAAGGCAGCCCCUUGGGAAUGUACUGACGCCCAUGUGCGAAAGCGUGGGGAGCAAACAGGAUUAGAUACCCUGGUAGUCCACGCUGUAAACGAUGUCGAUUUGGGGAUUGGGCUUUAAGCUUGGUGCCCGUAGCU